GUGCACCAGGCGCGAAACCUCCGCAAUACACGAAAGUGUGACGGGGCCAUCCCGAGUGCCGUCCGCUGAGGACGGCUUUCCCCAGUGUACAUAGCUGGGGGAAUAAGGAGAGGGCAAGCCUGGUGUCAGCCGCCGCGGUAAUACCAGCUCUCCGAGUGGUGGGGACGCUUAUUGGGCCUAAAGCAUCCGUAGCCGGCUAGGCAAGUCCUCCGUUAAAUCCAACGAUUCAAUCGUUGGGCUGCGGGGGAUACUGUCCAGCUUAGGGGCGGGAGAGGCCGACGGUAUUCCCGGGGUAGGGGUGAAAUCCUAUAAUCCCGGGAGGACCACCAGUGGCGAAGGCUGUCGGCUAGAACGCGCCCGACGGUGAGGGAUGAAAGCUGGGGGAGCGAACCGGAUUAGAUACCCCGUAGU
rnacentral:rRNA from 1 species